UGAGCGCCUUCUCUCUCCUAAAGGAACUCAGCGUUGGAGCCUUGGUUGCUACUUCCUGUCUUAUUAUUUCCUUUUCAUUCUUACUGACAAGCCAUGAAGAAGGGAUGUGCUGUGGGGUCACAAGGUCCCAUGUUCAAACUUGACUUUCAAACUUUGAAAGCAAGAGAGGAAGGGCCAACUCCAAUCUGAACAGCAACAUGCCGGCAGCUGUCUCUACAACCCCUGGAACACUCCACGGUACCCAAGAACACCAAUCCGGAGAUCUAAAAUCUGCAUUCUUUCAAUCACGAGUACCAACCCUUGAGUGAGCCACUGCAUCAUUUCUCUGAGUGAAAUGCCCUUGUUUGACAAGACGCUGACCCAGCCGCACGCCCCUCCUGCUGACGAGGCGAACCGAAUGGUCAGACAGUGAAACGUGCCACCCACGACACUCUGAACGCCGUGCAGCAGUGAGUCUCCUCAUUGCUUGGAAGCCUUACAGGUUUGGACCACAUAAAUGUUCACUCAAACACAAGCACUGAGAGCGCCAAAGCCCAGAGAGUUGGGAUAAAUUUUGAUGUCCGCCACUUGAAACACCAUUUCUUUGAAAAACAAGUUUUUGAAAACCACUCUUACUCCCAAGGUCCCCUGGCCCUUUAGUGGCCCUUGUCUGGCCAUCCCUUAUCUUACCCCCUUCUCAGCCCCUCUACAAACCACCUCUUUCUUCUGCAGGUUGAAAUCAUCACUCGUGCUGAGUGGCGUCUGCUCCACACAGAAUAAAGUGAAAAUUAAGUUGCUCAGUGUAAUUUCAUCAGUUUGUGCCUGAUUCUCACCCAGCCUGUGUCUCAAGCCUGAUCAAAUCAACCACUAACAGUUGUGUCUGCUUUAAAAUGGGACCCUGCGCUCACAGUCACCGACGUGAUACAAUUCCAAAGGGAAUUUAAGGGCUGGGAUGUGGGACCGGGGUGGGGUGGGGUGGGAUGCUGUUUCACUACUCUCAAGACAACCACAGCGUUCUUCAUAAUCUUAUAAUUAGUCAA